rnacentral:rRNA from 1 species
AUUGAACGCUGGCGGCAGGCCUAACACAUGCAAGUCGAGCGGAUGAAGGGAGCUUGCUCCUGGAUUCAGCGGCGGACGGGUGAGUAAUGCCUAGGAAUCUGCCUGGUAGUGGGGGAUAACGUCCGGACACGGGCGCUAAUACCGCAUCCGUCCUGAGGGAGAAAGUGGGGGAUCUUCGGACCUCACGCUAUCAGAUGAGCCUAGGUCGGAUUAGCUAGUUGGUGGGGUAAAGGCCUACCAAGGCGACGAUCCGUAACUGGUCUGAGAGGAUGAUCAGUCACACUGGAACUGAGACACGGUCCAGACUCCUACGGGAGGCAGCAGUGGGGAAUAUUGGACAAUGGGCGAAAGCCUGAUCCAGCCAUGCCGCGUGUGUGAAGAAGGUCUUCGGAUUGUAAAGCACUUUUAGUUGGGAGGAAGAGCAGUAAGUUAAUACCUUGCUGUUUUGACGUUACCAACAGAAUAAGCACCGGCUAACUUCGUG